rnacentral:rRNA from 1 species
UGAGGAAUAUUGGUCAAUGGGCGGAAGCCUGAACCAGCCAAGUAGCGUGCAGGAAGACGGCCCUACGGGUUGUAAACUGCUUUUAUGCGGGGAUAAAGUGCAAUACGUGUAUUGCUUUGCAGGUACCGCAUGAAUAAGGACCGGCUAAUUCCGUGCCAGCAGCCGCGGUAAUACGGAAGGUCCGGGCGUUAUCCGGAUUUAUUGGGUUUAAAGGGAGCGCAGGCCGCCCCUUAAGCGUGUUGUGAAAUGCCGCGGCUCAACCGUGGCACUGCAGCGCGAACUGGGGGGCUUGAGUGCGCCGGAGGUAGGCGGAAUUCGUGGUGUAGCGGUGAAAUGCUUAGAUAUCACGAAGAACUCCGAUUGCGAAGGCAGCCUACCGUAGCGUUACUGACGCUGAGGCUCGAAGGUGCGGGUAUCGAACAGG